rnacentral:rRNA from 1 species
AACGAACGCUGGCGGCAUGCCUAACACAUGCAAGUCGAACGAGACCUUCGGGUCUAGUGGCGCACGGGUGCGUAACGCGUGGGAACCUGCCCUUAGGUUCGGAAUACCUCCCCGACAGGGGUGCUAAUACCGGAUAAUUUCUUCUGACCAAAGAUUUAUCGCCUUUGGAUGGGCCCGCGUUGGAUUAGCUAGUUGGUAGGGUAAAAGCCUACCAAGGCGACGAUCCAUAGCUGGUCUGAGAGGAUGAUCAGCGACACUGGGACUGAGACACGGCCCAGAAUCCUACGGGAGGCAGCAGUGGGGAAUAUUGGAAAAUGGGCGAAAGCAUGAUCCAGCAAUGCCGGGUGAGUGAUGAAGGCCGUAGGGUUGUAAAGCUCUUUUAUACGGGAUGAUAAUGACAGUACCGGGAGAAUAAGCACCGGCUAACUCCGUG